GUACUCUGUUCAGCAGCAUAUACACUAAAAUUGGUAUGAUUUAGAGAAUAUUGGCUUGGUUUCUCUACGAGGAUGUCACACAAACUUAAGAGGAGUUCUACAUUAUU
ensembl:snRNA U6 U6 spliceosomal RNA